rnacentral:rRNA from 1 species
CUACGUGCCAGCAGCCGCGGUAAUACGUAGGUGGCGAGCGUUAUCCGGAAUUAUUGGGCGUAAAGGGUGCGUAGGCGGCCUGUUAAGUAAGUGGUUAAAUUGUUGGGCUCAACCCAAUCCAGCCACUUAAACUGGCAGGCUAGAGUAUUGGAGAGGCAAGUGGAAUUCCAUGUGUAGCGGUAAAAUGCGUAGAUAUAUGGAGGAACACCAGUGGCGAAGGCGGCUUGCUAGCCAAAGACUGACGCUCAUGCACGAAAGCGUGGGGAGCAAAUAGGAUUAGAUACCCUAGUAGUCCACGCCGUAAACGAUGAGUGCUAGGUGUUAGACCCUUUCCGGGGUUUAGUGCCGCAGCUAACGCAUUAAGCACUCCGCCUGGGGAGUACGACCGCAAGGUUGAAACUCAAAGGAAUUGACGGGGGCCCGCACAAGCGGUGGAGCAUGUGGUUUAAUUCGAAGCAACGCGAAGAACCUUACCAGGUCUUGACAU